AUUGAACGCAGGCGGCAGGCCUAACACAUGCAAGUCGAGCGGAUGAGUGGAGCUUGCUCCAUGAUUCAGCGGCGGACGGGUGAGUAAUGCCUAGGGAUCUGCCUGGUAGUGGGGGACAACGUUUCGAAAGGAACGCUAAUACCGCAUACGUCCUACGGGAGAAAGUGGGGGAUCUUCGGACCUCACGCUAACAGAUGAGCCUAGGUCGGAUGAGACAGGUGGUGAGGUAAAGGCUAACCAAGGCGACGAUCCGUAACUGGUCUGAGAGGAUGAUCAGUCACAAUGGAACUGAGACACGGUCCAGACUCCUACGGGAGGCAGCAGUGGGGAAUAUUGGACAAUGGGCGAAAGCCUGAUCCAGCCAUGCCGCGUGUGUGAAGAAGGUCUUCGGAUUGUAAAGCACUUUAAGUUGGGAGGAAGGGCAGUAAGUUAAUACCUUGCUGUUUUGACGUUACCAACAGAAUAAGCACCGGCUAACUUCGUGCCAGCCGCCGCUGUAA
rnacentral:rRNA from 1 species